rnacentral:rRNA from 1 species
UACGGAGGGUGCAAGCGUUAUCCGGAUUCACUGGGUUUAAAGGGUGCGUAGGUGGGUCUGUAAGUCAGUGGUGAAAUCUCCGGGCUUAACCCGGAAACUGCCAUUGAUACUAUAGGUCUUGAAUUUUCUGGAGGUUAGCGGAAUAUGUCAUGUAGCGGUGAAAUGCUUAGAUAUGACAUAGAACACCAAUUGCGAAGGCAGCUAACUACAGGGAUAUUGACACUGAGGCACGAAAGCGUGGGGAUCAAACAGG